AGCUAGAGUUUGAUCCUGGCUCAGGAUGAACGCUGGCGGCGUGCCUAACACAUGCAAGUCGAACGAGGUAAGGAUCCUUCGGGAACUUUACCGAGUGGCGGACGGGUGAGUAACGCGUGGGUAACCUGCCCUGUACCGGGGGACAACAGUUGGAAACGACUGCUAAUACCGCAUAAGCGCACGAUGUCGCAUGGCAUAGUGUGAAAAAUUCCGGUGGUACAGGAUGGACCCGCGUCUGAUUAGCUAGUUGGUGAGGUAACGGCCCACCAAGGCGACGAUCAGUAGCCGACCUGAGAGGGUGACCGGCCACAUUGGGACUGAGACACGGCCCAAACUCCUACGGGAGGCAGCAGUGGGGGAUAUUGCACAAUGGGGGAAACCCUGAUGCAGCAACGCCGCGUGAGUGAAGAAGUAUUUCGGUAUGUAAAGCUCUAUCAGCAGGGAAGAAAAUGACGGUACCUGCAGAAGAAGCCCCGGCUAACUACGUGCC
rnacentral:rRNA from 1 species